AGCUCUGCAAGUACUGGGUGCUUCCACUUGUUUUCCAAGCUCUCUCCUUCUAGGCAGCCUGCCCAGCCUGAGGGGGCCUCUUCCAGAGAGUUCUGUGCAGCUCUGGUGGGGACCUAACUCCUCUAAUUCUUCCAAACUCUUGAGGGCUCAGAGAUAAGUAUUUUAAUAAGGGAAUCUUCAUUUGCGGGGCAACACCACAUGCAUAAUUCACUACUCGAAGCCAGUCUCAACACCUUUAGUCUGCAAUGGGACAUCAGGUCCCAGGAGAGCGCCACGGAUCUUGGGGCUGCUGGAAUCCUUGAAUGCUAACAGCCCCUCUGAAGUAGGACCGGUGGGGUUUUUUUUUUUUUAAUUAUUAUUGUUAUUGAUGGAUAGGAGAAGAGAAAGAAUGACACCUGUAGACCUGCUUCACCGCUUGUGAAGCAACUCCCCUGCAGGUGGGGAGCUGGUCCUGGGUCCUUACGCCUUGAUUCCCUCAGCAUUCUGACAGAAUACAUUAAAUGAGCCUUUCAAUAAGGUCGGAACAGAGAUGAUUCAAAUCAGAAAUGAUGGUUACUGCUAUAUAAAGGAUCAUAGAAGACUGCCAUGAAAAAUACAUAGCCCACCAAGAUCAAGAGCAAGUAAGGAGGUUGAAUCACUAAUUGAAAACCUACAAACACAUGGUUACAGUGGCAAAUUCUACCAGACCGUCUCAAACUUCUUGAAAACACUUUCAAAAGCAUUAGGCUGAGGCCAGCAUAACACUGAUAACAAAACCAGGUUACCAACUUUCCUAUCAGGUUAAACUGAGAUGAAGCAGCUAAAACCUUCUUCCAGUCUCAGAAAGAAGAGACUCUGGAAGGAGACCAGAGGUCGGAAAGAACCUGAAGGCUGUGCUGUAGCUCUCCAAACCUGGGCCUCUAGAAGCUGCUCCAGAGAACCUGUAUGGAAGCAGAUGAACUGGAUACAAGAUACCAACAGGUGAAAGGCCCCAGGACUGCAGCCAAGUACACAGCCCGCUCUCAUUCACACUUUGCAUUUCUGGUUGACCCUUGGAAGUCAUUUUUUCCUGAGAAGCUCUGGGCCCUGUAGGUUUCACACACUGACAGCUGAGUUUCAGAAUCCUUGGCAACAGACAAUCACUGAUACUGACCCUUUGCUUCUGGGGGGAACACAGGGCUAGGAUCCCACAAAUGGCCAAUGGCCACUGAGCUCUCUAUACCCCAGUUGUAUCUGUGCUUCUGUCUGAAGACACCUUGUUCAGUGGGACCUGCCGGUUCCUUGACACUGAACUCACGGCUAACAGCUUCAGAGGAUGCACACAGCCUGGGGAUGCCCCGCAGGGCCUGAGCACCCCAUUCAGGAACCGCUGCAAACAGCAAAAUCACCCACCAAAAUGUUAGACAUAGCACUACACAGACUGUGGAAAGGACGCUUGUUUUACUGUAAAGUGAGAGCAGAGACAGGGAGGCAGAAAGAAACCUCAGCGGGAAACACUCUGCUAUCUGACUGCUCCAUGGACCUGUGGAUAAGUAUUUCGAGUGCUGGGAAGCAUCA